AGGAUCGGAGCUCGAGCGGCAGAGCAGGCGCCCUUUAAGCGUCAAGGUAGGGGUUCGAGUCCCCUCGGUCCCACCA
rnacentral:tRNA from 1 species